UAAUGAUUAACUUUAGGUGUAGGACAAUUUAGAAUGGAAUGCCAACUGCAAAUGAUGCCAACAUUUUUUUUAAUACUAGAAGUAUACUUAUAUAUUAAUUUAGAGACUUUCGUAUCACCCAUUGAAAAUUGUGAAUUUGUGAACUAAUCCACAUCGACAAAUCAAUGUUGUUGACCACUUUACCUAUCUAGGCAGCACAGUGUCCAGCAAUGGUUCACUAUCCAGAGAAAUAGACAACCGUCUCGCAAAAGCUACUGGCGCUUUUGGCCUCCUCCGACUGAGAGUAAGGCGGAAUAGGUCUCUACACCUAGUAACAAAAAUCAGUGUUUAUAAAGCAGUGGUUCUCACUACACACUUUCAUGGCUCUGAGAACUGGCCUUUAAUGCACUUCGAACGCUCCCAUGAAAAGGUGCCUUCGCCUAGUGGCGGGCAUAUGCUGGCGGGACUACAUUACUCUGUUCUGUUGGAGGUCGGUGUGGACAGUAUAGAAACACUAUUUACAAACAGCUGCGCUGGGUCAGACACUUAUCCCGCAAGGGAGAUGACCACAUGCUAUCUUCUUUGGCGAGCUUAAAGGAGGCCGGCUUAACACAAGUGCUCCCCCACCCCUUUAAGGGCUAUAAAGAUCAACUCAGGCGUCAUUUAACUCUCAUUGGCAUAGAGGAAAGUAGCUGGCAGCAGAUGGUCUCUGAAAGAGACAGUUGGAGAGCUCUUACAAACGCUGCGGGACAAACAUUUGAGACUAAAAGAAAAGACAUUAUUUGGAGACAGGCGCAGAAGACGGAAAGAAAACAUAAUAGACCGCCAGAGGACAACGGCUUUGUCUGCAGGAAGUGCUGGAAAAUAUGUAGGUGGGAACUGGGUUUACCUAGUCAUGUAAAACACUGCACUCA